GAGAAGCUCUCCGGCUGCUGCUCCAGCUUCACUUCACUUCUCCAGUCUAGACAUCACAUCAUUAGCUCGGCGUGCUAACUCGCGCUUUACUAUUUCACACAAAAUGUCAACCACAACUGGCGGUGGAGAAUUUGGCAACCCGCUGCGAAAGUUCAAGCUUGUCUUCCUGGGAGAACAGAGCGUUGGGAAGACCUCACUCAUUACCAGGUUCAUGUAUGACAGUUUUGACAACACUUAUCAGGCAACAAUUGGCAUUGACUUUUUGUCCAAAACCAUGUAUUUAGAAGAUCGCACGGUCCGACUCCAGCUGUGGGACACUGCUGGACAGGAGCGUUUUCGUAGCCUUAUUCCCAGCUACAUCCGUGACUCUACCAUUGCGGUGGUAGUUUAUGACAUCACCAAUUUAAAUUCAUUCCAACAAACAUCCAAAUGGAUUGAUGAUGUCAGAACAGAGAGGGGAAGUGAUGUCAUUAUCAUGCUGGUUGGAAACAAAACGGACCUGGCAGAUAAAAGGCAAGUUUCUGUUGAGGCGGCUGAGAGGAAAGCUCGCGAGCUCAAUGUGAUGUACAUAGAGACCAGUGCCAAGGCUGGCUAUAACGUCAAACAGACAGAUCACCACGGAGGAGGGCGAGCAGAGAGCUAAGGAACUGAAUGUCAUGUUCAUUGAAACCAGCGCAAAGACUGGCUACAAUGUCAAACAGCUGUUCCGCCGCGUUGCUGCCGCUUUGCCCGGGAUGGAUAACGCACCAGAGAAGAGCAAAGAGGACAUGAUCGACAUCAAACUAGAGAAACAGCCAGAGAUGACUGUGACCGAGAGCAGCUGCUCGUGCUAGUACACCUCGCCGCCAACCCGCCUGUCUGCCCACCUACCGACCCACCAACAGCUUGUCUCUCAGUGGCCACUCUUUCUCUCUCACUCUCUCUCUCUGUCUCUCUCUCUGUCUCUCUCUCUCCACCCUCGGCUCACCGCCACAGUGACGGGCCACUCUUCUGCCCUCCUCCCUGUUCAACUCAGUGACUUUUCAGAGUAACCGUGUGGAUGUGCAUUACUGUAUUAAAACUAAUAAUCUGGAGUCAAUUCACCGACACAUUAAUCCGAUGAUCAUCCAGUUGCAUGGCAUUAUUUAAGAUUGCAGACUGACUUAGCUAACCGCUUUUGGGUUUUUGCACAGUUGAGAAUCUUAGUGAUGUUACUCUUGUUAAUGUUGUGUAAACUGCUUAUUUAAAUGACUGCGAGGUUUUAUUAUUUUGUACUCUUAAAACUGGAGUUCGCUAUUCCAGCACAGACGUAUAUGGAGGAAGUAGAUGACGGAUGAAGUGCAUCUUCACUCAGUCUCUUCAAUAAAGCCACCAACGUCGCAGCAAAUGUGCUUGGCGAUUGUCUGAGAUGAUUAUAGAAGGGAAGACGACUUUACUACUAACAAGACCAUAUCCGUAGGUAACAAGUAGUCGGGCGUGGAAUUAGUUAGCAAGUUUACUAACAUGUGAGGACGCGUACCUCUGUGCUGAUUUAUUUCUUCCAUCGACAGAUGAGGUUUAGUCACCUUCUUUGAUGUGUUGCUGUGUGUUAGACUCCACUGUACCUGCGACAGCAUGCUCACCCUGCAGACUUCACUUGGAUAAGAACACAGAUGCCUUGCUUGUUUGUUCACCAACGUUGUGCACUGAAUCAAGCCACAAUAUUGUCAAGAAAAGAAGAGGAAAAUGCAGAGAGGAUGCCUGCUGACUGGUUCAUGGCUUCACUGGUUGAUUUAGAGACGAGCUCACCUUACACUCCUGCUGUACAAACAUCGCGGAUACUUUAUCUUUGGCUUGUUGGGUUUUAUGUGUUUAUUUAUUUUGUUACUUGGACAUAUAAAUAACAUUGUACGCUUGACCAAAAAUUGAAACGACGACAUGCAUGUUUUGUUUUUGUUGGUUUUUAUUGCGUACCUGCUGGGGGUUAAAAGGCGACCUUUAGGCCAUGAUCAUGUUUUCUUGUCUUAAACCUUAUAAGUUUGUGUGUUUGGUCAGUCAAAGCUGCAACAUUUUUCACACUCAAAUAGUGUCACUCCAACCUGCCAUGGACUGUCGACCGUUGCUGCAGCUUGGUUAGAACUGUCUACAUGAAUUAAAGGUGGUUUUAAGUAUUUAAGUACAACACAUUUUAACCGCUCUUCUAUUACUCGUCACGACUGAGCUUUGUGUUAUUCUGGAUCGUGUCUGUCCAUCUGGAAAAAUAAAUGCUGUCUACUCGUGUUUGUGUUAAACUAUUACUAUCUGAUGUAUUAAAAGGAGAGUCAAGGAAACACAACUGUAGGCCUAUCACAUGGAGUAAAUAAAGAUAUUUCACCGAUG